rnacentral:rRNA from 1 species
UAGUGAAUCUUCGGCAAUGGACGACACUCUGUCCGAGCAACGCUGCGGGAGUGAAGAAGGUUUUCGGAUCGUAAAACUCUGUUGUUAGAGAAGAACAAGGACGUUAGUAACUGAACGUCCCCUGACGGUAUCUAACCAGAAAGCCACGGCUAACUACGUGCCAGCAGCCGCGGUAAUACGUAGGUUGCAAGCGUUGUCCGGAUUUAUUGGGCGUAAAGCGAGCGCAGGCGGUUUCUUAAGUCUGAUGUGAAAGGCCCCGGCUCAACCGGGGAGGGUCAUUAGAAACUGGGAGACUUGAGUGCAGAAGAGGAGAGUGGAAUUCCAUGUGUAGCGGUGAAAUGCGUAGAUAUAUGGAGGAACAGCAGUGGCGAAGGCGGAUCUGUGGUCUGUAGCUGACGCUGAGGCGCGAAAGCGGGGGGAGAAAACAGG